GGUGAGGUACUUGUAGAGAGCGGGUGUGGGGAGGGUGGAAUCCGGUGAGGCUUCCAUAGUUGAGUUAGCACAUUCGAGAGAUCUCGUAGCUUGACGCAAGAAGCGGAAUGCUCGAGAAUCUUCUAAUGGACAAAGGCGGCCCUCUAGCCCAUUCCCGGUGACAAAGGCCCACUGUAGGCCAGCUCCCUCUGCUGUCCGAAUCCGUCCCUGAGAUCGCAACUCGAAACACGUCCCUCGGCGAUGCCAUCACCACCCCUUCUGGUUAAAUCCACCUUUCGGUUCUUCUUCUUCUGUUUCACUUCCCCCUUCUUGCACUUCUUCUCUAAUCUCUUCAUAUAUUUAUAAAAAAAAAAAAAAAAAAAAACUUAACCUCGUACCGCUUGCAUUAGGAUCUCCUGUUCUCUAAGGACAAGGGUUUUAUUUAUAUAUUGUUAUUAUUAUUAUGGAUACUUAUUUUGAUGUUGUAUAUGGUGUUGAAAGAGAGGGUGGCUUAAGGAGGCAUGGUAUGCAUGAUUGGUUUCCCCUGGAAUGGUUUAUUCCAAGUCUUGUUGGAUCAUUCCUGCACCGAAAAUGUGAAAGGAGAUGUUUCAGUUAUUGACUUAGAGAGUGCAUCUUUGUUAUAUUGAAAACAAAUUGCAAGUGAAAUUGCCAGCGGUAUUAUCUCUCUACAGUUCAAAACCUGCAGUUUGCAUGGUUUUGAGAAAAAUAUUUUAGCAGUUGGAACAAAGGACGCAUCUAUUUUAGCAAUAAAUGGUGAAACUGGAAACGCAUUGAGCAUUGGAACUAUUCAUCCAAAGAAGCCCUCUAAAGCAAUAUUUAUGCAGGUGUUGGUUUAAGUUAUCAAUUAUCUAAAUGCUUGCUAUGUUCAAAUACUAUUUUUUAUAGCAAUGAAGAAUUUGAUGGAAAAGAGUAAGACCUUCUAUCAUGUUAUAACAGAAAAACAAUGUUACAUUUUUCCAGCAAAGCAAUUUUACAUUUUGCCAUGUUC